rnacentral:rRNA from 1 species
AGUGGGUAGUCCGCACGAGCGCACCCUAUCCUUAUUUGCCAGCGCGUUAUGGCGGGAACUCUAAGGAGACUGCCGGUGAUAAACCGGAGGAAGGUGGGGACGACGUCAAGUCAUCAUGGCCCUUACGGGAUGGGCUACACACGUGCUACAAUGGCGUAUACAGAGUGCUGCAAUACCGCGAGGUGGAGCGAAUCACACAAAGUACGUCGUAGCCCGGAUCGGAGUCUGCAACUCGACUCCGUGAAGUCGGAAUCGCUAGUAAUCGUAGAUCAGAAUGCUACGGUGAAUACGUUCCCGGGCCUUGUACACACCGCCCGUCACACCAUGGGAGUGGGAUGCAAAAGAAGUGGCUAGUUUAACCUUUCGGGGAGGACGGUCACCACUUUGUGUUUCAUGACUGGGGUGAAGUCGUAACAAGGUAACCCUAGGGGAACCUGGGGUUGGAUCACCUCCUUAUCUU